rnacentral:pre_miRNA from 1 species
UAUUAAAAUUUUCAUUUAUUUCUAUUAUUCAAAACUAGUGUAGCUGAUGGAAUAAUCAAAUAAUUACAUGUGACGUGCCACGUGCACGUUGACUAGUUUUUAACAGUAAAAAUGGAUGAGAUUUUUAAUA